rnacentral:rRNA from 1 species
CACGUAGGCUCCAAGCGUUGUCCGGAUUUAUUGGGCGUAAAGAGCUCGUAGGCGGUUUAGUAAGUCGGGUGUGAAAACUCUGGGCUUAACCCAGAGACGCCACCCGAUACUGCUAUGACUUGAGUACGGUAGGGGAGUGGGGAAUUCCUGGUGUAGCGGUGAAAUGCGCAGAUAUCAGGAGGAACACCAGUGGCGAAGGCGCCACUCUGGGCCGAAACUGACGCUGAGGAGCGAAAGCGUGGGUAGCAAACAGGAUUAGAUACCCUUGUAGUCCCUGAGACGCCAAGGCACACA